rnacentral:other from 1 species
AGUUGCCUGCCUUGUUCGUGAAAGGAAUAAAAACUUGUUCCGACAAUUUUUCUUUUUUGGGAGCCAGCGUAAGGCAAGUGUGAGCGGCCCGGAUUUCCGGGAGAGUAUGCCUGAUCCUGCCUUCAAGGCGCCCACCUGUAAUAAACAGGGAGGCAAGUUUACUCCUGCACGGCAAGGUGGGUCUUAA